AUACUGUGACAUUUUUUAUUUCAUUUUUGCUCAAAUGGAGACAAAAGAAGAUUUAGUACAAAUCAGUCUUACUUUCUCCUCAGAGAAAGUGCCCGUUAAGCCGUCAUCAUACGAUUUUCAGUGCAACGCGCUGUAAUUAACAGAUGAGGUUUUGACACUGGGCGGCUGGCGUAGAUGCACCACAGCAAAACUGAUUAAUUAGCCGAUACUAAUCAGAGUCUCUCUUAAACAGUUUGUUGGCUCAGUUUAUUUUCAGCUUCAGUUUCUUGUGUGUGAAUAUGUUUGUGUGAUUUUCAGGUGGUGACAUGUCCCAAUGCCUCCUUCACUGACCUGGCAGAAAUUGUGUCCCGCAUCGAGCCUGUUAAAUCUGCUCUUGUGGACGAUGAGUCCGACUACCACACAGACUAUGAAGAGGAGGCAGGGGAGAGUGCUCCGUCUGACAUGGAGCUCUACAAUCGAUAUGGUGAACACACUGAAGGAGAGGAGACUGCUGACACGGAUGAAGAGCUGGAGCUGAGGCGUCAACAACACCGCCCGACCAAAACCACGGUCACUGAAAGAAAGUAAAGAUGUCCGCUGUUAAACCUGGGAGGCCUUUUUUAAAAAAAACAGUCCAUUGAGUGAAGACCAGUUUAACUAAGUCUCUUCAAACAGAUCGUCUGCCUUUCUGCCACAUAUUAACCUUUAGUUUGACCCACGUGGCUCCAAACCUGCUCCUUCCUUCACUAACAGUGAUUAUCUCUCUGCCUGCCCUGGUUAGCUUUGUGGCUGACUUAACAAAUGGACUGCCUCUUUAAAAAGAAAAAAAAACUGUUUUGUUUUUUUGAAAAAAAAAGAAAAAUGGCUUGAAUCAAGAGGGUCUCGCAAGAAACACAAAUUGCGCACACACACUCACAAAACAAAUGCACAUGGCCAGGAGAGGGGAAGGGUGGAGCGUUAGCGGUGAGUUUUUACAACAGUGAGGAUAAAGCAGUAGACAAUGGAUGGAAUGUUUAAGCUGCAAGUCCUAUGAAUUCCUAUGCAACAGAGCAACUGCAAAGCCCGUUAUUUUCUCAUAUUGAGACAUUUGAGAGGAACUUCUGUCACUUUACGAGCAUCACACUGGUCCAGUGAAAGAUGACAGAGGAGAGUAAAGCUACUACAGCAUAUAUCUGUCGAACCUAUAAACACUUACCUCAAGUUUAGCACUCAAAAUUAUUUAAGUCCAUUCAAAGUUUAAGUUUUUUUUGUUAUUUGUUUCACAGUAAAUCAGUCGUACAAUACUGUUCAGUUUUUAUCUGUGGACAUGUUGCCAAAAUAAAGUGACGUUCUGAUGUAUUCGGAACGCAGAAAUACGCCAACCUGUUUGCAGCCACGAGAGCAAUAAAUGAUAUCAAGCAAAUCACUAAGAAACAUGGAACAAGUAAAUGCUAAUAAAGCUGUUAGGCAACGUUUGUUUAUAUUUUAAAGUCGCACACUAAGGCUUUAACUUUGAAUUGAUGUUUCAAUUUGAAUGUAAAUUAUCCGACCAUAGAAAUGUUGGAUGUGAGAAACAUUUUUUUUUCAAUGUUCCCAAAGUUGGAGUCAGGACACUGUAGGGUUUUGCGAGGCAGACACGGUUCUGGGUCUAGAGUCUCAGAACCUUGGUGCUUUCCGGCAAACCACCAGUUUAAGAGGAACCAAAGUGUAAGGACGUUACUCCGGUGGAAGUAAACACAACACCGACACUUUUUCUCUACCCAGGAAAUGGCAUGCCCGCUGACGAUGUCACAUUUGGAAGAACCAACUGUUAGGUUCCAGCUGAGAACCAACUUUUUGCAUCGGCUGGUUCAAAAUUAGGUUCGAGAACCGUAACUGGGCUAUGAGUGUGUGCCAUAGAUUCAGUCAAAUCAACGCCAAAAUGGCCAACUGCCCCAAGAGCUAAUCAACAUCCUCAAUUUUCAUUCCUUGUCAAGAAAACAAGCAAAAUUCAGUCAAAACAACAACACGAUCAAUCGUUUCAAGGGUCAACACAGAUUUUACACACAAGGGCGACCAAUCAUCACUUUUUUUGUUUGUUUUUUUAAACAUAUACACUUCAAAGCACAUCUCUUUUCUGUUGAAGUCUACCAGACUACAGCUCACAGUGGUGGAUCUACAGUUUAGAGCAGCAGCAGUGCAAUUUCUUCACAGAAACCUACUGUGACGAGAAGAAGGGGUUUUUUUAGCUUCUUUUUCCUCAGUGAUUUGGAUCAAAUUUAGAUUUGCCAACACUUUAUUUUAUUAGUACCAUAUUUUACUUUAAAAUUAGUGAAAAAUGUAAUGUUUUAUAUUUAAAUCAAGAAUGUAUACAACCUAAGUUGUAUGUCGUUUAAUGCACAAGUUGGACAAUCUGUUCCUGAAAUGCAGUACAAUGCAAUAUUACACACAAACUAACUCACGUAUCACCUCAAACGUACAACAUUAUGUCAUUUAUAUAAGGUCAAAUUCAUCUCUGUUUUAACCCUGGCUGUACUAACGAUUCAUGAUUAUUGUUAUAAUGUUUGAAAAUGAAGUGAAAAUGUUCGUCUGUUUUGUGAAAAUGUCUUGUUUUCAUUCCAAAGUCGUAAAGAUUAACAAGUGUAAAAAAAUAUAUAAAAAAAAAAUCAUGUUUCAGAACAACAAAAAAAUAAGCCAUUUUGAUGUUGAGAACAGUUUGAUUUAGGGCUGGGUGAUGUGAUCAAAAUCUUUUAAAAUACUUUUUUUAUUUUACGAAAUGUUAAAGAAAUUACUUAAUUGUGGUUUUGAACAGAAAACAACAAAAGACUUGUUAAACACACAUGUAUUUUGCAAAUCUGAAGCAAAAUAGUGUUUGCACAAUGCAGUAACAUUAUAUGCUGAUCAAUAUAUAUUGGUCCAUUUGUUUUACUGCUUUUUAACAAAAUUAUAUAUUUCAAAAUAUAUAUAUAUAUAUAUAUGUUGUUCUUGAAUUAUUGUUCAGCCCUAGGUUGAUUUCUGUUGAUUGAUUUUAUUUAAAAAAACAAAACAAAAAAAAAAGCACUCUCUAACAGUUUUGUUAUGGAGACUGUUAAGUUUGCUACCCUGCUUUUGUUUGUUUAUACCAAACCAAAAAAAAAAACCACAGUUUGCAUUUGUCCUCCCACUGCCUGGGUCCUAGAGUUAACACAGUCUAAACAACACUCCGAUAAAUACCGAUAAAAUCAAAGUUACAGAUGUAACCGAGUCUCUGUGAUUCUGGAUGAGCGUCAGAGACGUUAUCUGAAAGUUAUAAGUCAAAAUAAACAAUAAAACCUUGUAUGUUAAUCUGACAUUUCACUAGAUUAUAUAUACUCAAUCGACCAAUUUAUUAAGUACACAGAAAACUAUUACUAUUAGAGUGGCACCUGUUCAUCAUCUGCUUCAGAGUCACAAGACGUUUGUUUCAUUUAGCACCAGCCUGGUCAUUUUAUAUCUGACCUCUGGCACCAAUAAGGCCUUUUAUCACCCAUAGAACUGCUCUCUUUGUUUUUGACCAUUCUGAAGUACGAAACAACAAACAUGCCACAUUCAACGUCACUUAAAUCACCUGUCUUCACUGUAAUGCGAUUGAUAAGACAUUUAUUUUCACACACGCAGAUGAACGGGUCGUACCAGUGAGUGUCCUGUGUCACAGAACAUGCAGGACAAUUUAUUUGAUUCUUUCAUGCAACUUUUGACGAUUAUUUUUCUUUUUCUUCCUCCCACUCGAUAUAUUAACUCGCGAGCCCGACUGUACGAAGGUGCGAUCAUUGUAAAUAUGGCUGGGACUGUGCCGACAGUCUUACAAAGAAACCCUGUGAUAAACACUAUGGAGCUUCCAUAUGGUGUUGGUUAAACAGAGUGUGGACACAGAACGUGUGACAAAGUACAGACAGGAAAGUGUCUGCGGUUUACCAAUGAUGUAACGGCGUGUGUUGUUUUCAAUUUGGGUGCUUUCCAAAAACCUGUUUAAUAUAAAUUUAUAUUGUGUGUCAAAAUGAAUGUUCUCUACUUUACUAGAUGGGACAAGGUGAUGGAUAAAGUGCUUAUGUAAUGUGUGGAGCUGUGCCAUGGAAUUAAUGUUACGAAGCCUUAAAUGACCCAUGUGGGGGAGCAACCACUCGUGCCCUUGUUUGGCAUUGAUUUUUGAUAAAUAAAAUAAUUAAUAAUAACUAAUAAGCCUGCACUGUAUGACUUCAAUGACUUGUGUGUAUUUAUAUUAUUUGAUAAUGACUGUACUAAUAAAGCACAAUUUGUUGUUAAUUUGUA